rnacentral:RNase_P_RNA from 1 species
AAGCACUAGAUGAUUGCUGUGAAAGCAGAGGAAAGUCCGCGCUAGCACAACCUGAGAUGGUUGUAGGGUCCGUGUAGGGUCCAAUAAACCCUAGCUUAGACGACAAGUGCCACAGAGACGAGCUAUUAAUUUAGAGUGAAACGCGGUAAACUCCGCGAGCUAGAAACCCAAAUUUGGUAGGGGAACUUUGAUUAUGGAAAUGAACUACAUCAAAGACCGUAAGGUAGAUAAAUGAUCAUCUGAAAAACAGAACGCGGCUUAUUGUG